UUCUUCUCUGGGAUACAUCCACUUCAUUGGUUUUUAAAACCCAAAUCCUCUGCUGCAUGUUCAGAUGCUGUUUUUUAAUUAUUUUUUUGUGGUGGAUAUGCCAUACACGCCUCUCUUUAUCCAAUCUCAACAUUUGUUUAUCUCUCUUCCCUUUUCUAUCCUUUGUUUUUCCUCCAUCUUCCAGAUGCUUUCUUGGUAGUAUUUUUUAAUUAAUUUUUUGUGAAAAGGUGUGUAUCAUAGGUGUCAAGUGUCGAUGAUCGAUGUGUUCUUAUCUCAGCAUUUGUUUCUCUCUCUUCCCUUUUCUAUCCUUUGUUUUCCCUCCAUCUUCCAGAUGCUUUCUUGGUUGUAUUUUUUAAUUAAUUUUUUUAUGAAAAGGUGUGUAUUAUAGUUGCCAAGUGUCGAUGAUCGAUGUGUUCUUUGUUGGGUUUGUUUGCUUUUUCUUUCCCAGAUUUUCAUUUCUCUUCUUGCUCUCACUUUUUUCUCUGUCGUUCUGUGUAGUUCUCAGAGGUUAUUUCGUUUUGCUCUUCAUUUUUUCUUCCGCUGCUCCCAAAUUUUUGUUCAAUCGUCGUCGUAUUUUGUGUGUUGCUGUCAGGUUUUUCAUCGGUGAAAAAAAGGGCAGCACUUUAGGUUUCUUUCAUUGCGAUAUCAGUUAUUUACAAUAAUUUGUUUUUAAACUGUUUUUAAAAGGGCAGCACUUUAGGUUUCUUAUAGUGACACGUUUAUAUGUAUUUUUGCCCAUUUUUAUCCUGUUUAUGACAUUUUUGUGCUAGGGUUUUUGAGCUUUGUUACUUACCCUUUCGUUUUUUUUUUUUUUUUAUUUGUUUUGCAGGUUGCAUUUGCAAAGGGAGAACAAGAUCUUGGAUAGUUUCUGUGCUUAUGAAACAUUUGAGGCAGCCUAAAUGGAAAACACAGCUGCUACUCCUAUCCAUUUACUGCGCCCUUAUACAAAAGUGCUCAAAAUAAAAGUUCGAGUGUGCAGAAUAUGGAGACCAAGAUUUUCUGGAAGUGUUGAAAAAUAUUCGGGCCUUCGUUGUAUAUUAGUUGAUGAAAUGGAGAGAAGAGUUGAGAGUUACGUUAUGGGCAAAUGUUGCAGAAAGUUUUUCUUCUUUAUCAGCUGAAGCGUUCAACCCACCAAUCAUGAUUGUUUUAACAAGUUUGAAAGUAAAGUUGUACCUAGAGAACAUUGUCUUGAACAGUACUGGUUCUUCACUCUUCUUCAUUGAUCCAAACAUUGUAGAACUAAAUGCUUACAAAUCAGUGUUUGCCAAUUGCACAGAGGCUGUGAAAAAACUGCCACCCUCUUCAAAACAUGCCAAUGAAGCUGAAGUCUUACAGGCUGCCAAGAAAGUGACCAUCGAGGAAUUAGCUUUUCUAGAUCCAGAUUUACACAAGGACGAUACAUUUUUGUGCAAAGCGUGUGUAAAGCGUUUUGACACACACUAUGAUUGGUGGUAUAGCGCUUGCCCAAAUUGUGCCAAACAAAUGCAAAAGGAUCCCACAAACUGGGCAAUUGGUUUGUCAAAAACAUGGAAGCCAAAUUCCGACUGCUUGGUACAAAGUCAACUUAGUUCUUGAAGAUGAAACUAAUGAAACAAAUGCUUUGAUAAUUGGUAAAUCUGGUGAAAAGCUAUUUGGCUCAAGCUGCAAAGAUUUAGUGAUGAAUCAAAGAUUGGUGGAUCAACAGCAACUCCCAAAUGAAUUCUCGAGGUUGAUAGGACAAAAGAAAAUUUUUCAUCUACGGUUUGGAACUAGGAAAAAUAAUUUGAAUACGAAUGAUCUUUUGAUUUCCAAUGUUUCUGAAGACACAACCGUGCAACCAACAACUCCACAGGCCUUGCUAAUGGAAAUUACAGUGUCUUCAACAAUGGUUUCAUCUUCUUCUUCCACACCUGAAACAAAUGCCCAAUCGCAUAAACGAAAAAGAGAAUCAGUCAGAAUGUCUCUUUUUACCAGUAGUGAACAAAGUGACGUGGAAGAAAAUUCAGAAGAAAAUCCAACAGACAUUGAUGAAGUUCCAAUCAAAUUGUUAAGAAAAAAAUCAUCACUGAUUUGUACAACGACAGAUCCUCUUGCUUUAAAAAAAGACUAGGUUACUUUCCCAGUGGUGAAAAGUGCUUGACCAAAACUUCAGUUGUUUCAGACAUCAAAUUUACAGUCCUUUGUCAAUAUAUGUAUCAAACAAUCUCUCUAAUAUUUUUGACCAUGUCAAUAGCUCCCUCUAAUCUAGACAGCACAAUAUUUUUUGGUAUGUAAAUAAUUAUGUCUAACCUAGGGAGCAUCAUAUUUUUUGCAUGUAAAUAGUCUAGCACUUUACAAUCUUUAGUUUCUAAGUGCUUUCAUGCAGCACAAUGGAUGACUAUUUUUUGUAUGUAGAUUACCAAACAUUCUACAAUCUUUUACCCUAUAGAUUACAUAAGCUAAACAUUUUGUCUUUUAAAA